CCUACGGGCGGCAGCAGUGGGGAAUAUUGGGCAAUGGGCGGAAGCCUGACCCAGCGACGCCGCGUGAAGGAGGAAGGCUUUCGAGUUGUAAACUUCUUUGGGGAGGGACGAAGAUGACGGUACCUCCAGAACAAGCCACGGCUAACUACGUAGGUGGCGAGCGUUAUCCGGAUUUACUGGGUGUAAAGGGCGCGCAGGCGGCCCUGGAAGUCAGAUGUGAAAGAUCAAGGCUUAACUUUGACAGGUCAUCUGAAACUUUGGGGCUUGAGUAUCAGAGGGGAAAGUGGAAUUCCUAGUGGAGCGGUAAAAUGCACAGAGAUUAGGAGGAACACCGGUGGCGAAGGCGACUUUCUGGCUGACAACUGACGCUGAGGCGCGAAAGCGUGGGGAGCAAACAGGAUUAGAUACCCGAGUAGUC
rnacentral:rRNA from 1 species